GUUUGAAGCCUGAAAUGUGGCAAAAGGUCGCAAAGUUCAAGGGGGUUGAAUACUUUCGCAAGGCACUGUAUAUAAAUAUAUAAAAAUAUGUUUUCUGACACGUGAUCACUUUUAGAUAUGGUCAUUUUUAUAAAUUCAUUGAAUGUUUGAGAAUGAAGUAUAGUAAGGCAUUUGUGAAAAUUCUAUAAGAAUAUUGUCAGAGGACAGACUCAGUUUUUGAAAUUAUUUUUAUUGACUGUUCAACUCAACCUGAUCUUGGACAGUUUUUUUUUUAGUUUACCAGUGAUUUUGUGUGGCCUACCACUUCGCGGCUGAGCCGUUGUUGCUCCUAGACGUUUCCACUUCAAAAUACCACUUACAGUUGACCGGAGCAGAAAUUUGACAAACUGACUUAUUGGAAAGGUGUCAUCCUAUGACGGUGCCAUGUUGAAAGUCACUGAGCUCUACAGUAAAGCCAUUCUACUGCCAAUGAUUGUCUAUGGAGAUUUUAUACACCUGUCCGCAACGGGUGUGACUGAAAGAGCCGAACCCACUUAUUUGAAGGUGUCCAAAUACUUUUGUGUUAACGGUUAAGUCUUUGGAUAGUGGAUUUUGCAGAUUCCCUUGGCCUCCUGUUGGUUCACUUUUGUUCUUGCUGUGGUUUAUUUCUAGCCUUUUUUCUUUCAACGACAUGUUCAUUGACGAGCCUAACUUUUCUACCUUUGAAAGCCUCUGUAGAUUAACCUUCUGAUCUUUCUUUUUUGAUGUAAAUAAGGCGAACAAUGAUCUUUUUUCUAAUUUAAGAGUUGGCCUAGGCAUUGGUAAAAAAACCUAUGGAUCAUGUUUUUCUUUUUGUAAGUUUGUUUUUCAGCCAUUUUUGGAGUGACUUAUCUGUGGGCUAGUUUUUUCUUUUUUUGAGGAGAGAUUAAGAAAACACUGCUUCAAGACUUGCUUUGCAGUUACCCAUACUUUUCUCUUAUAAGGUCAACUAUGAAGUGAAAGUAUUUUUAAGGACACUUUCAUUGACAUUCUUAGGUGUACCUCUGACACCUGUUGCAUCACAAGGUAUGCAAGUAAAUGUGUGACAGAUGCGCAUUGCAGCUUUUUCUACUGUUUGCCAUUCAAACUUUAAAACAUGCAAACCGGUCUGGAAUGGUGUGCUUGUAUACAGUGUUUUGAUACCAGUUAUUCUAGAGCCUGACGGAUAUGGGAUUUUUGUAUCUAAUUUUAGAGGGGAAAUAUUCACAGAUAAUUGAUAUUGGGCCUAUAUUUUUAGGAUUUUAGCUGGAAUGAAACAUUUAAAAAUGUUUUCUGUAUGGAUUGUGAUUAAAAAGAUACUCAAAGAACAUUUAAUGUAAGCACCACAGAAAAAUUAGGAGCACCAGAAAGAUGCAGGAAAGAAAGUAAAUAAAAAAUGUACUCUAGUGAAAGGAAGAUAUACCGCCCUGAUUCCAGGAAACAACAUGAGCCUCUGAAGACUGAGCGGCCCCAUGCCAGAAUGAGGCUAGCAUUCCAUUUGUAGGGCUGUAGCCACUGGUAGUUGUCACUUGCAAGAUACAACAUUUUACGCUGGCACUGUGCUGCCACUCGCCCCUAAGUGUUGCUUCAGUGAAUGGUCCUUGCUAUCCGGGAUCCGUGAGACAACGCUACCGCAUAGUUUUGAAACGCCAUGUAAACACUGAGAAUGUAAAGCAACUUUUUUUUGUCUACCUGGCAUUUUCUUUGUUGGACUUUUUGUCACCUUUUUUAGACAAAUGAGUGAAUUGUCUUUAUUUAAAAAAAAAUUUUUUUUGUCAUUUUGACUCUAAUCCAAGUGCUUACAGUUUCGUGGAUGUUUUUGUGAUAUUCAUUUUUCUGAGCAGAUGUUAGUUUCAGCCAUUUUUGGAGGUUGAUUUAUUUAGUUUAUUUUUGCUUUUUUAUCCUGGGAGGAUUAACACAUUUUUUGAAGAAGUCUUCAUACUUCUCCCAUUUGUGGACUGCCUCAAAGGAGUUUCUUUCUGGCAUACUUUGGAGUGUCUUUGGAACAAAGGGUGCUGAGUCUCUGUGUCAACCGGCUGAGCAUGCGCCCCAAAAGCAGGAUGGUCUUUCUGUCCUCUCUGCCAUGUUUGAUGGAAUUCUACAGAAAUGAACGUGGUACCUGCAGGCGUUUGGAAAUGGCUCCCAAGGAUGAACCAGACUUCUGGAGGUCUACACUUUUUUUUUCUUUGAUGAUUUCUUUUGAUUUUCCCAUGAUGUCAAGCAAAGAGGCACUGAGUUUGAAGGUGGGUGUGAUGAAUUCCGAUAGAGACAUGCUGAUGGUUCCUGGGGUGAAUGGACUCCAUUUUGUGUUUACUGACGCAAGUGGGGGCGGCAGCGUAGCCUAGUGGUUAGAGCGUUGGAC
ensembl:lncRNA